rnacentral:lncRNA from 1 species
UGUCCUAGAUUAUUUUGUCUAUCGUUACUCUUGAAAAAUGUUUUUGUAUGUGACCAUCACUGAAAUAAGACGAACUGUUUUUAUUUUAUCUAAGAAAUAUUAUCAGUUAUUUCAGGUUGCAUGGAUUCAUGAUCAAAUGGAAAAUACAAAAUACGCGAAAGACGGAAUAUGCAAAGACGGAAAAAUAGCCGCAUAUUUAAUCGUUUGAAGACAAAUCAAAUCAAGGGAUAAAUAUGUCAAUACUUUAAACCUCAAGGGAAUUUAUUAGAAAUUCAUUUAUUUUAAAUGAAUUAAUGAGAUUUCUCAUAUUGUGUUGUGGAAAUGAGAAGUAAAAACACACGCUCCAUACUCCAUAUUGAAAAGUCAAAGAAAGAAGCAUACCACUUGCAAAUCUAGCCUACAACCUAUGCUCGUUUUCUUUCAUGAUUAAACUCAACUACAUUUAGAUAUUUAAUGUCUUGUAUCUAUGUAUUUGAUCGUGUGUAUGUAUACAAGAGUCAUAGCCAUAGUUUAUGUGUGUUUUAUUUUGUUCAUCCCUUUCAACUUCAACCUCAAGCAUAAGCUUCAUCCUUGUGAAGUAAAGUCAGGAACACCAAGAACCAACAACACCACCUUCAUUCAUCAUCACCUUAUACCUCAAUUUUAACCACAUAAUUCCACACUCAAAACAACCUCAAAAUACUCUCCAAACACCCUCCAAAAACCUUCCUUAAACCUCCUCCAAAAACCUUUUUAAAUCACCUCAACCAUCACCACCUUGCUGUUUUUCGACAUCAGAAUUUGCAUGUUAGAAAACAAAAAACCGAGCACAACAAAGCCAAAAUACUACUAGGGAGAUUUUCACCAUAAAUUCUUCAGGAGCUUACCUACGUCUAGAAAUUUUUGUGGACGAUUUUGACCAUGGGAAACCCCAAAGAGACGCGAGAGAGUAUUGGCUAUCCAGAGAGAUUUCUGUUUUCGAGUUCAGAAUCUUCAUGUUAGUAAACAAAAAAACUGAGCACAACACAGCCAAAAUACGACUAGGGAGAUUUUCACCAUCAAUUCUUCAGGACCUUACCUACGUUUAGAGGUUUUCGUGGAGGAUUUUGAUCAAGGGAAACCCCAAAGAGACGCGAGAGAGAAUUGGCUAUCCAGAGAGAUUUUUGUUUUCGAGUUCAGAAUCUUCAUGUUAGUAAACAAAAAAACCGAGCACAACAAAGCCAAAAUACUACUAGGGAUAUUUUCACCCUCAAUUCUUCAGAACCUUACCUACAUCCCAAAAUUUUCGUGGACGAUUUUGACCAAGGGAAACCCCAAAGAGACUCGAGAGAGUAUUGGCUAUCCAGAGAGAUUUACUCCGAAAAUCUACAUCCAUCACCACCCAAAGCUCCUUCAACUUCACCAUCUUUGCUGCCUUACACCACCAAAAUUACAACCUUAUUCCACCUCCUAACACCCUCCAAAUACCCACUCCAACCUCAUCAAAUCUCCUCAAAACACCCGAUACCCGUAUACAAAUACAUGACUCGUGUACUUUGCACUGUUUUGUAAACAAUCCAUUUUACAUGAAAAUGAACUUUUUACUACUUAUCAAAUACCGGAUUGAUCUUUGAACAAAUAUCGACCAGUCGUUCCAAGAGUCCCAAUAUCGACCGGUCCUUCCAAGAGAACAAAUAUCGACCAGUCGUUCCACGAGUCCAGUUCAGUCAAUUUAUUGACGAACCUACUUGAUAUAUAUUUAUAUAUAUAUAUAUAUAUUUUAUUAUAGCUUUAUGUCAUUUAAAUACAGUCAUUUAUAUUAUUUAUAGCUUUACGUCAUUUAAAUAUAGUCAUUUAUAUUAUUAUAGCUUUCAGUCAUUUAUAGCUUUCAUAUUUAUACUUAUUCCGCAAUUAUUAUUCUUUAUAUAUAUUUACAUCUUAUAUCUUAAACUUAUAUAUCUAUCACACAGUGACCGGUAACCGAGCCUUUUGUCGCAGUGAUCAGAUUUUUAUAUUUCCAACAAUCGGUAUCUGAGCUGAUAUAUAAAAGGAAUAAUAUCCAACAAUUGGUAUCAGAGCUUGUGUGAUUUACCUUGAAAUUUUUGUCGAAAAACUUUUGGUUAUAGCGUUUAUAAACCUUCCAUAAGCUUUUCUUUAAAAAUUUCAUUUUAAUAUCACUUGUUCAAAAUCCUUUCAAAAAAAAUGUCUUUGGCAAAUUACUCCAACAUGAACUCUGUCUCCAUUGCAAAUAGCUUAGGAUCUGGUUCACGGGCACCCAUACUUAUUCCUGAAGAGUAUAAUUCGUGGGUUGGCCGUAUGAAUCUUCAUCUUAAUGCUAUAAAUGAAGAUGUCUGGAAGUGUGUAGAAGGAACAUAUGUUACUCCAGAAAAUAUGGCUACUCUUGCUACAAAUCAAGCCACUCAAGUUGAAAUUACAAAAAAGUUGGAACUCCAAGCCAAAAAGGAACUUGUUUCUGGAAUACCUCACAGUAUUCUAAGUCAAAUGGAUGACAUUAUACUGUUAACCGCAAAUCAAAUUUGGGAGAAUUUGAAAAAUCGUUUUUGUGGAAAUAAAAGAAUCAUCGGAAACAAAAGAACAUCUGUUUUGAAUGAAUUUGAUAAUUUCAAAAUGCUUUCAUCAGAAACUAUCCAUGAUGCUCAUGAUAGGUUCAAUUUGAUUAUGGUUAAAAUGAACAAUUUGGGUAUCAAAAAGACACAACACGAGAUAAAUCUCAAGUUUUUAAACAAUCUUUUCGAAAGCUGGAAAAUGGUUAAACUCAUUAUUCAGGGAAAUCCAGCUAUUCAUACCGAAUCUUUGUACAAUUUGUAUGGAGAACUUCAAUCGUAUGAAUCCUCGAUUGACCCACCAACCAUUGCAGCUUUUGGAGGACCACUUGCACUUGUGUCCACAACUUCUCAAAACCAAACACCUUUCAAUGAUCAAAACUUUAAUCAUUUUAAUCAGACUACAUCUUUUCAAAACCAAGCCUUCCAGUCUGAUUCAAAUGAUGAAGCAGAUUAUCAACAACUGUGUGCGUUGGUUGCAAACACAAAUCUCCAGAGAUUUAUCCCAAAUCAUGGUCAAUCAAAUUUUAGACCAAAUUUUCAACCAAGACCAUCUUUUGGACAAAAUAACUCAAGUUUUCAACCAAGACCAUCUUUUGGUCAAAACAACUCAGGUUUUCAACCUAGACCUUACUUUGGACAAAAUUCUCAAAGACCUUCUUUCCAAAAUAACUCAAACCAAGGUUUUCAAAACCAGGGAUUUCAAAACGAUCCCAACUCAGGUCAUAAUCACAAUCCAAACAAUAGUUUUCAAAAUCAAAAUAGAGGUUUCCAAAAUCAAGGUUACAACAAUCAAAACAAUGGUUUUCAAAACAACCAAAAUUUUAGAUUCCAACAAAACCAUUCUCAACCUUCCCAACAAGCCCAAACUCAAACACCUGAAAGACUUCCGAUUAAAAGUCAAAAGGAUGAUAGUGAUGAAGAAGUGAUCAUUUGUCACAACUGCAAAGGAACAAAUCACUAUGCCAGAGAAUGUCGAGCCAAAAACAAAACCAAAAUCAAAGACUCAGCAUACUAUGCUCAAAGAGCCGAUGAAUUGAAGAAACUGGAAAACCAAGAAAAGCAAAGAGCAUUGAUGGCAAUCCAUGAACCAAGUGUGGAAUACUGGCCAACUUCUGAUGACGAAGCUGAACACGAACCAACACAAUCAAACUUCUGCUUCGUAGCUGGUGUUGAAAUACCUUCAAGAGCUCCAAACGUCAUAGAACAGGUAUGGUCUAUGAUCUCUGAACUUGGUUUUUCCAAAACAAUUUUUGAGUCCCACAUAACCAAAAUUGAGACUAGUCUGGAAGUUGAUCUCAAAACAUAUCAUGACACAAUGGUCAAUUAUGAUAUUUGCAAAUCUGAGUUACAAACCUUGCAACUCAAAUUUGGAGAAUUAACAAGAACGAAAAGCAAAUUGGAAAGAGACGUUGAAAGAAAAUCAGAAGAUUAUAAUCACGUCUUGGAACAAUUAAAUCAGUCCCUAAUUCAGAAAAGGGAUUUGGAACUAAAAAAUCAGUCAGUCAUUUCUUCUGAAAUAAAAGAUGUUUUAGAAAUGGAAAUCCUUCAGUUGAAACAAGACUUUCAAGAAUCAACUGACAAAUACAAUGUUUUAAAUGAAAAGCUGACUGAUUCUUUAAAACAAAUCAAUUCUCUUGAAACCGAGAAUAAAAGACUGAUAUGGAAUAUGGAUUCUAUCAAAGUUGCCAGAAAACUAAGUGAUGAUAUUUUCACCAAGGCAAACACCUUGGGAACUGGCAAAAUUGAUACGAAUUAUAGACCAGGAAUUGGAAGAGAAUCCUUUGAAAUUGAACAAGCAAAACAGAAAAACAUGACGAAUUGUGAAAACUCUGAAUCUACUCUACAUAAUCUUUUCACAUCUGUUAAUGAGGAAGAUUCAGAUGACGAAACAGUUAUCAACUGUAGUCCAGAUGAUACUGCUUUCAGUGUUUCCAAAAAGUCUUUCAAAAGAGUUGUAAAUUCUGAAACAGACUCUGCAAGUUCUUUAACUCACCAAAUCAAAAAUACUGAUGGAACCACUAAACUCAAAAACUUUUUGAAUGGAGAAAAUUCCUCUUAUAAGGAUGGUAGUACUUCUAUACCAACUGCUUUUCCUACAAUGACUUCAUCAAUUGUUGGAAAAACUAGUCUGGGACAAAAAUACUCCAAGAAACAACAAACAAGCAAAAAAUCCAUUCAAGUCACCAAAACCCCACUAAUCAAACCAAACCUUUUUGAAAAACAACCAAAGAAACCAAACGUCAUACCUCAUAAACAGGUUUCCAAACAAAAACCAAAAUCUUUUCAAAAACCUUUUGAAAACCGCUUUCAAGAUAUUACUUUUAAUCAUUCAAGGAACUUUCAAAAACCAUCACAUCCGAAAGUUUCAAACCAUCAUCCUCAAAAAGCUUUUCAAAACCGCCCAUCACAUCCCAGAUAUGAAGAAAACUUUUCAAACAAACCUUCACAUCUAGGAUAUCUUUCACCAAAUCACAGAUCUUAUCAACCCACAGGUUUUCAAAAACAAAUCGCAUUUUGGGUAAAAUUGAUAGAUCAAAUCAAACCUCAACCAUUCCAUCGUUAUAAACCAAACCAUUACAAUAAUGUGAAGUCAAAUGAUAAAAGAAAUUCAUUAAGAAAAGCACCCAAAAUAACAACUGACAAACCAGGACCCAUUCAGAUUUGGGUACCUAAACUUUCUGUCUGAUUGUAGGUACUUAAUGCUGGAGAACCCAAUGAUGAUACAUGGUAUAUUGAUAGUGGCUGCUCCAAGCAUAUGACAGGAAACCGGAACUACUUACGUGACUUCAAACCUAUACAAACCAAUCAAGAUGUUACCUUCGGCAACAACAUGAAAGCAAAAAUCAAAGGUUAUGGAAACAUAACAAAUGGUAAUUUUACCAUAAAGAAAGUUGCCUUCGUCGAUGACCUGAAACACAACCUCAUCAGUGUUUCUCAACUGUGUGAUAACAAUCUUGAAGUUCUUUUCACCAAACAACGAAGCUUGAUCAUGGACGCCAAAACAAAAGAUGUUAUAGUUGAUUCUGACCGUGCCGGAAAUAUGUAUCCACUUGACAUGGAUCUUAUCUAUGGUAAACCCGAUAUAUGUCUGCUAUCUAAAGCCCCAGCAGAUAUUAGUUGGUUAUGGCACCGUCGCCUUUCCCAUCUAAACUUUGGGUACAUCAACAAAUUAAUCGGCGAUGAUCUUGUUCGAGGGCUACCACUUCUGAAGCUUGAUAACGAAACUCUUUGUGCCGCAUGUGAAAAAGGAAAACUUUCCAAAUCCACUCACAAAAGCAUCUCAGAAUCUAGUGUAUCCGAACCACUAGAGUUGUUGCACAUAGACCUUUGUGGCCCUGCCACAACCCAAACCAUACAAGGGAAGAAGUACAUUCUUGUUGUCGUUGAUGGUUUCUCGCGCUUUACUUGGGUCUUUUUCUUAAGACUAAAAUCAGAAGCACCUGAAGAGAUGAUCAACUUCAUCAAACAAAUCGAGCUGAAGCUGAAACGACCUGUUCGAAGAAUCCGAAGUGAUAAUGGUUUAGAGUUCAAAAACAAUACUCUAGAUUCAUUUCUCAAAGACAAAGGAAUUGAACAUAACUUCUCAGCCCCAUACACUCCACAACAGAACGGUGUUGUCGAAAGAAGGAACCGGACUCUAUGUGAAGCUGCAAGAUCAAUGCUUAUCUUUGCUGAUCUGCCACAAUACUUCUGGGCAGAGGCAAUAGCCACCGCUUGCUACACUCAAAAUCAUUACUUAAUCCAUAACAUCUUCAUAAAACACCAUAUGAAGUCAUUAACAACCGAAAACCAUACAUCAAGUUUUUCCAUAUUUUUGGUUGUCGAUGCUUCGUAAAGAACAAUAAAGAUCACCUUUCAAAAUUUGAAUCAAGGUCGGAUGAAGGAAUUUUCCUUGGUUACUCAUUUUCUUCAGCUGCUUAUAGAGUACUGAACAAACGUACCAGAGUAAUUGAAGAAAGUACCGAUGUUCAUUUCGAUGAAUUUUAUGUCAGGAAAUUGGAUCGUGAACAUUUUGGUUCAAAAAUGAUUGAAAAUAUUUUUCAAAAUCCAAUUCAACAAACACCUUCUCCUGACAUAGACAUUGAAAUCGAUCUUGAUUUACUUUUUGAACAACCAAAAACUGCUUACAAUUCUGAACUUCUAACUACUUUAAUUGAUCCUACAGGAACACCCAGUGAAGUUAUUCCACAAACAAACCAAAAUGAUGCAGAUCAAUUCGAGGGGGAACCACCAACACAUACUUCCUCUUUGGAACAAACACCAAAUCCUCCUUUAAAUACCCAAUCCUUAAAUAGCCAAAACAACCCCGAUGCAUCAUUUAUGGGGGAACCUUCAAACCUAUUCCAAGAUGAAACUCCUGGAGAAGAACAAUGGGAUACUGAAACUCCAAUUAUUAUAGAGGAAGAGAAUCGCUUAAUAAAGUGGACCAGAAAUCAUCCAACAGACCAAAUCAUCGGAGAUCCCAACUUAGGCAUUCAGACUAGAGCCGCAUCCACAAAUGAAUGUUUAUUUGGAGCCUUUUUAUCCACGACUGAACCCAAAACCAUACAUUCUGCUAUAAAAGAUCCAGACUGGGUAAAAGCUAUGCAAGAAGAGCUAGCAGAAUUUGAAAGAAACGACGUAUGGAAUCUUGUUCCUACUCCACCCGAUGUUACUGUUAUAGGUUCAAGAUGGGUAUACAGAAACAAGACUGACGAUCAAGGAAUCAUUUGUCGAAACAAGGCACGUCUUGUAGUCAAAGGAUAUUCACAACAAGAAGGAAUCGACUACGAUGAAACAUAUGCUCCAGUUGCCAGAAUUGAAGCAAUUCGCAUCUUUCUUGCAUAUGCUGCACAUAAGAACUUCAAAGUAUUCCAAAUGGACGUUAAAUGUGCAUUCCUACACGGAGAGAUAGAUCGCGAAGUAUACAUCCAACAACCACCAGGUUUCGAAGAUCCCAAAUUUCCCGAUCACAGCUUUAAAUUGCAAAAAGCUGUCUAUGGCUUGAAACAAGCACCCCGAGCCUGGUAUGCCACGUUGUCAACCUUUCUCAAAGAAUCAGGUUUUAAAAGAGGUUCAAUCGAUCCAACCCUUUUUCGUAAAAUCUUUAAUAAACAUCUUUUAAUUGUACAAAUAUAUGUUGAUGACAUUAUUUUCAGUCCUACUGAUGAAUCUUUAAGUAUUAAGUUUGCAGAUUUAACGAAGAGCAAAUUUGAAAUGAGCAUGAUUGGGGAGAUGACUACUUUUCUCGGACAUCAAAUUAAACAGUCAACUGAUGGCAUUUUCAUCAACCAAGAGAAUUAUGUCAAAAACCUACUCACUCGUCUUUCAAUGGAAGAAUCCAAUACCGCAUAAACCCCAAUGGCUUUUGGAUACAAAAUUCAUGCAGACUUAAAUGGCAAACCCGUUUACCAGAAAAGAUAUCAUGGAAUGAUCGGAUCACUCUUAUACCUCAUUGCCAGCAGACCUGACAUCAUGUUUUCUACAUGUGUCUGUGCUAGAUACCAAGCAAAUCCUAUGGAAUCCCAUGUAGUUGCUGUGAAACGCAUCUUCAAAUACCUUAAAGGCACUCCCAAACAUGGCCUUUGGUAUCCAGCUAAAUCCGAUUUUCAGCUGAACGCUUUCACCGACUCAGACUACGGAGGAUGCAAGCUAGAUAGGAAGAGUACAUCUGGUAGCUGUCAAUUCCUAGGAGGUAGACUAGUGAGUUGGACUUCAAAGAAACAGACUUGUGUAUCCACAUCAACAGCAGAAGCUGAAUAUGUCGCUGCCGCCAGCUGUUGUUCACAAGUCAUAUGGAUGCAAACUCAACUGCAUGACUAUGGCUUCAAAAUCUCACAAAUUCCCAUAUUUUGUGACUCAACCAGUGCAAUUGCCAUUUCUCACAAUCCCGUUCACCAUUCCAUGACAAAGCACAUCGACAUUCGAUAUCACUUUAUCAAAGACAACAUUCAAAAGGGUCAUAUCGAACUACACUUCAUCAACUCCGAAGAUCAAAUUGUCGAUGUCUUCACUAUGAAACAAAGUUUCAAUACUUCCUAGGCCGUCUAGGAAUGCUAAAUCCAGAUAACAUCCAUCCUUAAACUUUUACUUUUUGUUUGUACAAAAAUGUGUUUACUUUCAUUCAAAAAGAAAAUUCAAAAACGUUUAAAAAUUGCUUUCUUUUCAAAAAUACCAAAAACAUUGAAAUAACCAAUAUUUCAAAAACAUUCAGAAAAACAAAUCUUCAAAAAUAUAAUAAAAGACUUGCNNNNNNNNNNNNNNNNNNNNNNNNNNNNNNNNNNNNNNNNNNNNNNNNNNNNNNNNNNNNNNNNNNNNNNNNNNNNNNNNNNNNNNNNNNNNNNNNNNNNNNNNNNNNNNNNNNNNNNNNNNNNNNNNNNNNNNNNNNNNNNNNNNNNNNNNNNNNNNNNNNNNNNNNNNNNNNNNNNNNNNNNNNNNNNNNNNNNNNNNNNNNNNNNNNNNNNNNNNNNNNNNNNNNNNNNNNNNNNNNNNNNNNNNNNNNNNNNNNNNNNNNNNNNNNNNNNNNNNNNNNNNNNNNNNNNNNNNNNNNNNNNNNNNNNNNNNNNNNNNNNNNNNNNNNNNNNNNNNNNNNNNNNNNNNNNNNNNNNNNNNNNNNNNNNNNNNNNNNNNNNNNNNNNNNNNNNNNNNNNNNNNNNNNNNNNNNNNNNNNNNNNNNNNNNNNNNNNNNNNNNNNNNNNNNNNNNNNNNNNNNNNNNNNNNNNNNNNNNNNNNNNNNNNNNNNNNNNNNNNNNNNNNNNNNNNNNNAAAUCAAGGGAUAAAUAUGUCAAUACUUGAAACCUCAAGGGACUUUAUUAGAAAUUCAUUUAUUUUAAAUGAAUUUAUGAGAUUUCUCAUAUUGUGCUGUGGAAAUGAGAAGUAAAAACACACGCUCCAUACUCCAUAUUGAAAAGUCAAAGAAAGAAGCAUACCACUUGCAAACCUAGCCUACAGCCUGUGCUCGUUUUCUUUCAUGAUUAAACUCAACUACAUUUAGAUAUUUAAUGUCUUGUAUCUAUGUAUUUGAUCGUGUGUAUGUAUACAAGAGUCAUAGCCAUAGUUUAUAUGUGUUUUAUUUUGUUCAUCCCUUACAACUUCAACCUCAAGCAUAAGCUUCAUCCUUGUGAAGUAAAGUCAAGAACACCAAGAACCAACAACACCACCUUCAUUCAUCAUCACCUUAUACCUCCAUUUUCACCACAUACUUCCACACUCAAAACAACCUCAAAAUACUCUCCAAAAAUCCUCCUUAAACCUCCUCCAAAAACCUUUUUAAAUCACCUCAACCAUCACCACCUUGUUGUUUUUCGACAUCAGAAUUUGCAUGUUAGAAAACAAAAAACGAGCACAACAAAGCCAAAAUACUACUAGGGAGAUUUUCACCAUAAAUUCUUCAGGAGCUUACCUACGUCUAGAAAUUUUUGUGGACGAUUUUGACCACGGGAAACACCAAAGAGACGCGAGAGAGAAUUGGCUAUCCAGAGAGAUUUCUGUUUUCGAGUUCAGAAUCUUCAUGUUAGUAAACAAAAAAACCGAGCACAACACAGCCAAAAUACUACUAGGGAGAUUUUCACCAUCAAUUCUUCAGAACCUUGCCUACAUUAGAUACAUAUAUGGCUACCCUUUGAUAACCGAACCCGAGACUUUGAUUCGGAAACAAAUUUCUGAAAAUAUUUUACAUAAGAUAUGUUAAACAAAGUCACAAACUUUCAAAACAAUCACUAUGUUUUAUAUAUCUUAUCUAUUGACAAAUCUUUUAUCUCGAAUCUUCAAAAGUUCAAAACUAUCAAUAUGAUUAUAUCAUACAUGUCCUUAUUUCAGCAAUGAUCACAUAGGGGAAAAUUGUUGAAAAAUGUUUUUGUAUGUGACCAUCACUGAAAUAAGACGAACUGUUUUUAUUUUAUCUGACAAAUAUUAUCAGUUAUUUCAGGUUGCAUGGAUUCAUGAUCACAUAGGGGAAAAUUGUUGAAAAAUGUUUUUGUAUGUGACCAUCACUGAAAUAAGACGAACUGUUUUUAUUUUAUCUGACAAAUAUUAUCAGUUAUUUCAGGUUGCAUGGAUACAUGAUCAAAUGGAAAAUACAAAAUAUGCGAAAGACGGAAUAUGCAAAGACGGAAAAAUAGUUAUUUUAUCUGACAAAUAUUAUCAGUUAUUUCAGGUUGCAUGGAUACAUGAUCAAAUGGAAAAUACAAAAUAUGCGAAAGACGGAAUAUGCAAAGACGGAAAAAUAGUCGCAUAUUUAAUCGUUUGAAGACAAAUCAAAUCAAGCGAUAAAUAUGUCAAUACUUUAAACCUCAAGGGAAUUUAUUAGAAAUUAAUUUAUUUUAAAUGAAUUUAUGAGAUUUCUCAUAUUGUGCUGUGGAAAUGAGAAGUAAAAACACACGCUCCAUACUCCAUAUUGAAAAGUCAAAGAAAGAAGCAUACCACUUGCAAACCUAGCCUACAACCUGUGCUCGUUUUCUUUCAUGAUUAAACUCAACUACAUUUAGAUAUUUAAUGUCUUGUAUCUAUGUAUUUGAUCGUGUGUAUGUAUACAAGAGUCAUAGCCAUAGUUUAUAUGUGUUUUAUUUUGUUCAUCCCUUACAACUUCAACCUCAAGCAUAAGCUUCAUCCUUGUGAAGUAAAGUCAAGAACACCAAGAACCAACAACACCACCUUCAUUCAUCAUCACCUUAUACCUCCAUUUUAACCACAUAAUUCCACACUCAAAACAACCUCAAAAUACUCUCCAAACAUCCUCCUUAAACCUCCUCCAAAAACCUUUUUAAAUCACCUCAACCAUCACCACCUUGCUGUUUUUCGACAUCAGAAUUUGCAUGUUAGAAAACAAAAAACCGAGCACAACAAAGCCAAAAUACUACUAGAGAGAUUUUCACCACAAAUUCUUCAGGAGCUUACCUAUGUAUACAAAUUUUCGUGGAUGAUUUUGACCACGGGAAACCCCAAAGAGACGCGAGAGAGAAUUGGCUAUCCAGAGAGAUUUACUCCGAAAAUCUACAUCCAUCACCACCCAAAGCUCCUUCAACUUCACCAUCUUUGCUGCCUUACACCACCAAAAUUACAACCUUAUUCCACCUCCUAACACCCUCCAAAUACCCACUCCAACCUCAUCAAAUCUCCUCAAAACACCCAAUACCCGUAUACAAAUACAUGACUCGUGUACUUUGCACUGUUUUGUAAACAAUCCAUUUUACAUGAAAAUGAACUUUUUACUACUUAUCAAAUACCGGAUUGAUUUUUGAAUAAAUAUCGACCAGUCCUUCCAA